rnacentral:rRNA from 1 species
UACGUAGGGGGCAAGCGUUGUCCGGAAUCAUUGGGCGUAAAGAGCGCGUAGGCGGUCCGGUAGGUCCGCUCUGAAAGUCCGGGGCUCAACCCCGGGAGGCGGGCGGAUACUGUCGGGCUAGAGUCCGGAAGAGGCGAGUGGAAUUCCUGGUGUAGCGGUGAAAUGCGCAGAUAUCAGGAGGAACACCAAUGGCGAAGGCAGCUCGCUGGGACGGUACUGACGCUGAGGCGCGAAAGCGUGGGGAGCAAACAGG